rnacentral:lncRNA from 1 species
GCUUCCUGUGGGCCCAGGCUGGAGUGGGGGCUCCGCUGGGGAGGAUCCCGGAGGCCCGGCGGGGGAUGAAAGGCCGCCACGCUUAGAGAAAGUUUAAACCCCAAAAGACAUAGAUAAAGAAUGGAAAAGCGUGUGUGAGCGAGCGAGUGGAAAAACAGCUUCCCCAGCGUCCGCAGGGGAGGGGAAGAAGGGGGGAGGGAGGGCGCUGGGGCGGGGGAGUGGGGAGGAGGAGGCGUCCCGCCGGCUGGCCCUCCCGGGUCGGCUGUGCAGCUCCACCCUCCCGGCCCAGCAAGCCUGAACCCCACCGGGCUUAACUCCAGCCUCGCGCUUCCAGAGCCGGCUUGUCAGCGCUCCAUGGCUCAGACUUUCUGGCUUUGGGACAGGGAAGAGGAGCGGAGGGCAGGAGCCCGGCCCCCAUGCCGAGCUCCGGGGACUCCGGGCAGAGGGCUCCGAUGUCGGUAAGGCAGGAAGACCCCGCUGACGGGCUCGCGCUCCAGAUGUGGGAGGGCGGAGAAGGCGGGGAGUAGAGCCUGAGCCAUCUGGGUCUUCGGGAAGAUUUGGGCCCCGGCAGUUGUAUUCAGGUGCUUACAGAUGCAAAUAACCAGCAAUAAUUAAGCGCCUUCGAUUUGCAAAGCACUGAUCCAGAAGCUGAAGAAAUAAAGAUGGAACUAAUAUGGUCCCGACCUCAAGGAGCUUCCCUUCUACUGGGGAGAUAUAGCAGGAAUAAUAAAGUGGAGGAAUUCCAUGGAGACUGGAACAACCUCCAGGAAGUGAUGCAGAGUGAGAGGAGCAGAACCAGGAGAACACUGUACACUGUAAGAAAAUCGAAUGUAACGGACUUCUCUUCUAGUAGCAAUGCAAUGAUCCAGAACUAUUUGGAGGGACAUAUGAGAAAGAACACUAUCCACAUCCAGAGGAAGAACUGUGGGAGUAGAAACCCCAAAGAAAAACAAUUGCUUGAUCACAUGGUUCGAUGGGGACAUGAUUGGGGACAUAGACUCUAAAUGAUCAUCCUAGUGCAAAUAUCAAUAAUAUGGAAAUAGGUCUGGAUCAAGGACACAUGUAAAACCUAGCAGAAUUGCCCAUCAGCUACAGGAGGAGGUGGAGGGAGGGGAGGGAAAGAACACGAGUCUUGUAACCAUGGAAAAAUAUUCUAAAUCAUCUAAUUAAAUAAAAUUUUCUUUAAAAAGUCA